rnacentral:tRNA from 1 species
GCCUGGCUGGCUCAGUUGGUAAAGCAUAGGACUCUUGGUCUUGGGGUUGCGAGUUCGAGUCCCACGUUGGGUG